GAUGAACGCUAGCUACAGGCUUAACACAUGCAAGUCGAGGGGUAACGAGAGGAAAGCUUGCUUUCCUUGUCGACGACCGGCGCACGGGUGAGUAACGCGUAUCCAACCUGCCCCCAACUAGGGAAUAACCUUGCGAAAGUAAGACUAAUACCCUAUAAUUUCCUCAGAUGUCAUCUGACGAGGAAUAAAGAUUUAUCGGUUGUGGAUGGGGAUGCGUCUGAUUAGCUUGUUGGCGGGGUAACGGCCCACCAAGGCAACGAUCAGUCGGGGUUCUGAGAGGAAGGUCCCCCACACUGGACCUGAGACACGGUCCAAACUCCUACGGGAGGCAGCAGUGAGGAAUAUUGGUCAAUGGGCGGAAGCCUGAACCAGCCAAGUAGCGUGCAGGAUGACGGCCCUAUGGGUUGUAAACUGCUUUUAUACAGGAAUAAAGUUAGCCACGUGUGGUUAUUUGUAGGUACUGUAUGAAUAAGGACCGGCUAAUUCCGUGCCAGCCGCCGCUGUAA
rnacentral:rRNA from 1 species